rnacentral:lncRNA from 1 species
AAAAAUCAUUUAAAGCUGGCAUUUGAGCCACUGCUGGCAACGGCCAUCUAAUUGAAGGGACCUCAUUUGUUACACAAGCCACACAGGAGCUCGUUGCAACAGACUGUGAACUAAUUACUAACCUCGUUUAAAAAUUAGGGAAAUAAUUAGGGCUUUGUUUUAUUUUGGAUGCCUCUACCUUUGUGUACCCAGUUUGAGAGGGACUGCCAUGAGAAGGGCAGAAGAUUGAGAGGGGAGCAGAGACUUGGGCAGAGUAACUUGUCCAUUUGGUGUGAAAGGAUCUUGCCAAAACCUUAGAUAAUAGGAGCAGGAACCUACAAAGCUUGGUUUUAUUUUUAUUUAUUUAUUUAUUUAUUUUGACCCCUAAAUUUACUAAGUCUUCAACAGGCUGGCUGGGGAUCCCUGCGUGGCUUUCCUCUUGGAAUUAAGAGCAAAGGAAGCAGAGAAUUCAAAGUUUAAACUUAACACGGUGGUGCAAGCCUGCGUUUUCUCUUGUUGAUUGAAAUGGGAAUAUGAGUGGACCCUCACUUUGGAAUUCAGACAAAUCUGAACUAAUCAAAGCUACAGACGUGUAUGUUUAUAGCAAAACUCAUGCAGAAGGCUGACAGCCUGUCUCACUCCCAUCAGAGAUAUCCCACCAGCUCCUUUAGGAGUUCAGCGUUGCAUUUGGCCUGUUCUGAUCUUCCUGAUCCCCUCAUUUUUGUGCUGCAACACCACCAUCCAGCAGAAAUCAGGUAGGAUCUGAAGACAUUUGACAUUGCUAAAGAAUCAAGCCUCAGCUGUCAGUUUUAGCCAUUUGUAUUCCAGAUUUUUGUUCCGCUGGAUGAUGGUUUCAUUUUUGAUUCUGUAAUGUGUUCUUUGUGGAGGUUAUUUUAAGCAGACAAAUAGGUAGCCUGCUUCCUUCAGUGGAUUUGUGCUGGUUUUAGCUGAGGUUUGCACAUUUUAGCUAUUGCCCUGUGGUUGUUCUGGUCCUGAUGCAUCUCUAAACCUUUGUCUGCCUCGCUUCUCCUCUUUGUGAAAUAAGAUGAGUAAUUGUGCAUAAAAUUAUGGAUGUUGUGCAUAAGCUGCACAAUGGUUAUGGGGCAUUUUAAGAUUUUCAUAUACAGGGGUCCAUGUUCACUUAAUCAAUUAAGUGUAGUCCUGGCUUUAAG